rnacentral:rRNA from 1 species
UUUGGAGAAGGUGCUUCGGAUUAGAUUAUGGCUCAAGUCUCAGGAAUGGAGCAUCAUAGAGGGUGAUAAUCCCGUAUCAGCCGACGUAUCUGUCCAUGUGAAGCCCUCUCAACGAGUCGAGUUGUUUGGGAAUGCAGCUCUAAAUGGGAGGUAAAUUUCUUCUAAAGCUAAAUAUCAGUCAGAGACCGAUAGCGAACAAGUAGAGUGAUCGAAAGAUGAAAAGCACUUUGAAAAGAGAGUUAAAAAGCACGUGAAAUUGUUGAAAGGGAAGCGCAAGCCACCAGACUUGUUUGUGUUGUUCAGCCUUCUCAAAAGUCGGUGCAUUCUUCACGAACAGGCCAACAUCGGUUUCUGGGGUUGGAUAAAGACUCUUGGAAAGUAGCUUUCUUCGGAAAGUGUUAUAGCCUCGAGUGUAAUGCGACCACCGGGGACCGAGGAACGCGCUUUUGCGAGGAUGUUGGCAUAAUGGUUGUUUGCGACCCGUCUUGAAACACGGACCAAGGAGUUGUGAAAUUUCGCGAGCAUUUGGGUGUAAAACUCACAUGCGUAAUGAAAGUGAACGUUGGUAGGAACUUUUUUGUGCACUAUCGACCGACCUGAAUUCGUGAGGGUUUGAGUAAGAGUGAAAUUUCACUGACCCGAAAGAAGGUGAACUAUUCCUGACUAGGGUGAAGCCAGGAGAAAUCCUGGUGGAGGCUCGCAGCGGUUCUGACGUGCAAAUCGAUCGUCAAAGCUGGGAAUAGGGGCGAAAGACUAAUCGAACCUUCUAGUAGCUGGUUCCUGUCGAAGUUUCCCUCAGGAUAGCAGUAACGAUAACAGUCUCAUGAGGUAGAGCAACGAUUGGAAGCA